rnacentral:rRNA from 1 species
UACGAAGGGUGCAAACGUUGCUCGGAAUUAUUGGGCGUAAAGCGCACGUAGGCGGCUUUGCAAGUCGGAAGUGAAAUCCCUCGGCUCAACCAAGGAAGUGCUUUCGAAACUGCAGAGCUUGAGUACUUAAGAGGAUCGCGGAAUUCUCGGUGUAGAGGUGAAAUUCGUAGAUAUCGGGAGGAACACCAGUGGCGAAGGCGGCGAUCUGGGAAGAUACGUGACGCUGAGGUGCGAAAGCGUGGGGAGCAACAGG